rnacentral:rRNA from 1 species
UACAGAGGGUGCGAGCGUUAAUCGGAAUUACUGGGCGUAAAGCGCGCGUAGGCGGCUUUGCAAGUCGGGUGUGAAAUCCCCAGGCUUAACCUGGGAACUGCAUUCGAGACUGCAUUGCUAGAGUAUGGGAGAGGGAAGUGGAAUUUCCGGUGUAGCGGUGAAAUGCGCAGAUAUCAGGAGGAACACCGGUGGCGAAGGCGGAUCUCUGGGCCUUACCUGACGCUGAGGCGCGAAAGCUAGGGGAGCGAACAGG